AGAACACAUCUGCUUUCCUGUGUGAGGGUGAGGCUUGGGCCGGGUUCCCCGGGAGGCUCAUCUCCAUUGCGCAGCGCUACGGCGACCCGCAACUCCGAGGCUCGGCUGGAUGUUGAGAGUUGAGGGAGCAGCCGUUUCGGGUGGGCCCAGGCGAGGAGCUGACAGGAAUCGGCGUGGGUCCCGCUCUGGACUACAUUUCCCAGAGGGCCUGGUGGCCUGCCACUUUUCUCGCAGGAAUUCGAACGUUUCGUCACUCCUGGCGGGACCCUUAGAUCUGGGAGGAAACCUCUCUGAGGUCUGGUCAGAUUCCAACCCUGGACAGCAGUGAACACAACCUUUCCCCUGAGCCACUGGAAUUGGACAGAAUGCCCCAUUCUCCUCUGAUCUCCAUUCCUCAUGUGUGGUGUCACCCAGAAGAGGAGGAAAGAAUGCAUGAUGAACUUCUACAAGCAGUAUCCAAGGGGCCGGUGAUGUUCAGGGAUGUUUCCAUAGACUUCUCUCAAGAGGAAUGGGAAUGCCUGGACGCUGGUCAGAUGAAUUUAUACAAAGAAGUGAUGUUGGAGAAUUUCAGCAACCUGGUUUCAGUGGGACUUUCCAAUUCUAAGCCAGCUGUGAUCUCCUUAUUGGAACAAGGAAAAGAGCCCUGGAUGGUUGAUAGAGAGCUGACUAGAGGCCUGUGUUCAGGUAAGUAAGAGAUGAUGGCUCAGGAGCAGGGCUAUAAAGAGAUAUACUUCUGAGAUGUUAUCAGGAAGCUCCCUUUAAAGGCCCGAAGCCUCUUCCAUAUAAGGUAUCCCACUUUUUUUUGUUUCUCAUACUUUCUCCCUAGUCCAAUAUAGCAAGUACCUCCCUGGCUACAAUUAUGCUAUAAUUAUUCUACUCACAUUUUAGUUUCAUUCCUUCCUAUGAUACGCUACGUUUAGAUUUGUAUAACAGUAGACAUUCCCACCCUGAGAAAUAGAUGUAAGUGCAUGUGUGUCUUUUUCUUUCCCUGUGCUUGUUUUCAUUUUAUCUACUUUCAGCUAUUUAACAUCUUUGACCAGUUUGUUCUGGAUUUAAAAGCUCAUUCUUUCAUUUAUCAAACAUUUGAUUAUUUCUUACUUUAAAACAAAAUUGAAGUAUAACAUACACACAUAAAACUGCAUGACUAUGAUUGCAUAGUAUGGUGAAAUUGAGAAUGGUGAAACCACUACUAGGACAAUAAGUAGAACAUUACUAGCACCUCAGAACCCCUUCUCUGCCCCUUCCCAAUCACCAGCCUCUUUUUCCUCUCCCAAAAUAAAUACCAUCCUGACAUUUGGCACCAUGGAUUCGUUUUGCCUAUUUUGGAACUUUGUAUAGAUGCAAUCACACAGUAUUUAGUCUUUUGCCUUUGGCUUUUUUUGCUCAACAUUAUGUUUAUGUGACAUAUCUAUGGUGCUGCAUAUAUCUGGUGUUAGUUCAUUCUUAUUGGCUAUGUUAUAUUUCAUUCUAUGAAUAUAUAUAUACAUAUAUAUAUAUUUUUUUUUUUUGAGAUGGAGUCUUGCUCUGUUGCUCAGGCUGGAGUGCAGUGGUGUGAUCUCGGCUCACUGCAACCUCUGCCUCCUGGGUUCAAGCGAUUCUCCUGCCUCAGCCUCCCGAGUAGCUGGAACUACAGGCCUGCGCCACCACGCCCAGCUAAUUUUUUGUAUUUUUAGUAGAGACAGGGUUUCAACAUGUUGGCCAGGCUGGUUUCAAACUGCUGACUUCAGGUGAUCGACCCGCCUCAGCCUCCCAAAGUGCUGGGAUUACAGGCGUAACCCACUGUGUCCUGCUUCAUUCUAUGAAUAUUUUUUAAAUUAUGCUUUAUAUAUUAUUAAUUACUAUAAGUGUCCUUCUGUUGACAGUUGGUUUGUUUGCAGUUUUUAGCUAUUACACAUAAUGCUGCUGUGAACGUUCCUAUGUAUAACUUUUGGUAAAUGUAUGUACACAUUUCUUUUAGGUAUAUACAUAGGAGUGGAAUUACUGAGCAAUAGGAUAUGUGUGUGUUCAACUUUAGUAAAUAUACCAAUUUUCCAAAGUAGUUAUACCAAUUUGCAGUUCUACUAGCAGUAUGAAGGUUACUAUUGCUCUGCAUUCUUACAUUCUUACCAGUUAUUACUGCCAGGCCCUUUAAUUUUAGUUAUUCUGAUGUGUGUGUUCUGUGACAUGCCUGUUUAAGUUUCUUGGCUAAACUUAGUCGGUUGUCUAUCUUUUUCCUGUUGGUUUCAAAGAAUUCUUUUUAUAUUCUAUGUAUCAGCCCUGUGUUUGGUUAUACAUGAUGUAAAUGUCUCCCACCACUUUAUACCUUGCCCUUUACUCUUUUAAUAGUACCUUUUGAUGAACAGAAGUUAUUAAUUUUAAUGUGGUCACAGUUAUCUUUUUCUUUAUAGUGUUGCUUUUUUGUGUCCUGGAUAGGAAUCAUUGCCUACCCCAAGGUCAUGAAGAUAUUUCCUAUGUUAUAUUCUAGUAGCUUUAUUGUUUUACUUUUUCCAUUUAGAUCUACUUUCCUGAAGUUGGUAUUUGUAUGUGUUGUGAGGUAGGGGUCAAAUUUCAUUUUUUUUCCAUGUGAAUAUCCAGUUGACUUCUUAGUGUUUAUUGAGAUGACUGUCCUUUUCCCAUUCUAUAGAGAUAGGACUAUAUCUAUCUUUUCCCCUAUAGAAAUAGGACUACCUUUGUCAUAAAUCAGGUAUUCCUAUUUCUGUGAGUCUAUCUCUGAAUUCUGUUCCUUUGGCUUAUUUGUCUAUCCUUGUGCCAAUACCAUACUAUAUUAAUACUGUAGCAUGUAAUAAAUCUUAUCUAGUAGAGCAAGUUCUCCUGCUGCUGCUUAGUCCUUUGCAUUUUCAUUGUAAAUUUUAGUAUUAGGCCGGGCGCAGUGGCUCACGCCUGUAAUCCCAGCACUUUGGGAGGCCGAGGUGGGUGGAUCACCUGGGGUCAGGAGUUCAAGACCAGCCUGGGAAACAUGGUGAAACCCCAUCUUUACUAAAAAUACAAAAAUUAGCCAGGCGUGGUGGCGGGCACCUGUAAUCCCAGCUACUCAGGAGGCUGAGGCAGGAGAAUCGCUUGAACCAGGGAGGCGGAGGUUGCAGUGAGCCGAGAUCACACCAUUGCACUCCAGCCUGGGGGACAAGAGCAAAACUUGGUCUCACAAAAGAAAAAAAAAAAAAAAA
rnacentral:sRNA from 1 species